rnacentral:rRNA from 1 species
GUGCCAGCAGCCGCGGUAAUACGUAGGGGGCAAGCGUUGUCCGGAAUCAUUGGGCGUAAAGAGCGUGUAGGCGGCUCGAUAAGUCUGCUGUGAAAGUCCAGGGCUCAACCCUGGAAGGCCGGUGGAAACUGUCGGGCUAGAGUCCGGAAGAGGCGAGUGGAAUUCCCGGUGUAGCGGUGAAAUGCGCAGAUAUCGGGAGGAACACCAAUGGCGAAGGCAGCUCGCUGGGACGGUACUGACGCUGAGACGCGAAAGCGUGGGGAGCAAACAGGAUUAGAAACCCGCGUAGUCC